CAGCCGCCGCGGUAAUACCGGCGGCCCGAGUGGCGGUCACUAUUAUUGGGCUUAAAGCGUCCGUAGCCGGGUUGGGAAGUCCUCCGGGAAAUCUGGCCGCUUAACGGUCAGAAUGCCGGAGGAUACUCCCAGCCUAGGGAGCGGGAGAGGCCGAGGGGAUUCCCGGAGUAGGGGGGAAAUCCUAUAAUCCCGGGAGGACCACCUGUGGCGAAGGCGCUCGGCUGGAACGCGUCCGACGGUGAGGGACGAAGGCCAGGGGAGCAAACCGGAUUAGAUACCCGGGUAGUCCUGGCUGUAAACGAUGCGGACUUUGUGUCGGACAAGCUAUGAGCUUGUCCGGUGCCGGAGGGAAACCGUUAAGUCCGCCGCCUGGGGAGUACGGCCGCAAGGCUGAAAUUUAAAGGAAUUGGCGGG
rnacentral:rRNA from 1 species